GGCACCAUGGCUUAGUUGGCUAAAGCAUCUGCCUAAUAAGUAAAAGAUCUUGGGUUCAAUUCCUAGUUGGUUUUA
rnacentral:tRNA from 1 species